rnacentral:lncRNA from 1 species
AAAAAUAGAAAAAACUGAUCUGUUCCAUUGGAUGGGAGAUUGAUGGCUCAGAUUCGGGUGGGGCGGUCUGUGCGUGAAAUUUGCAAAAAAAAGUCCCUCCCUGAUAGUUAAUUUCGUCCCGAUGCCCCUCCUCAUUGACCCAAAUCCCGUGGAGGCAGCACACGAACCAAAUCUUCUCCGAGGGCGUCGGCGGUGGCCGUCGCGCAGAUCCCUAGUCCAAGUUGGGUGAGCACUCCUAGUAGAGGUGAUGAUCCUUCUCUCGAUGGCUCCUUGCCGUUUUGUGGCUAGCGGCUCAGUUUGAGGCAGACCAGAUCGGAGCUCAUCACCAACUAACCUCCGCCCCGCAGCUUCCGUCGUAGAUUCCCUUCUGAAGCUUCCAACAUCGGUGGGUUCUUUGCCUCCUCUCUCAAGUAACAACUAGCGCCCUCCUCCCCCUCGUCGGCGGCAAGCCGGUGGUGGUCUCCUCGGCUCCUUCCCCUCCAGUCCGUGCAACGAGGUGGUUCAUUUUCCUGGUAAAUACUAGAUGCUAACAUUUAUUUGCAAGUGAAUUUGUGCUACAUCCUAAUUUUACUAUCAAGUAGAUUUAUGUUGCAUCUCUCUAGUUCUAUUUUUUGUUCAUGUCAAAUCUUCUCAGUGAAUGAUGCAUAAUAACUUUGAUUUGAUGGUGUAUUGCUACUGUACUAGCGUUUUGGUACUCUAAUUUGGAAGUUUUGUUUCACUCAUAAGUAAUCUGGAGAAUCAAGUUGGAAGAUUGAAUGUAGUCAGCUAAUUUCAGCGUCUUGCAGUUUAGCAUAUAAUUCACAAAAAAUAUUAAUACUUGCAGUUCCGUAUACAAAGGAGCUGUUCAGGAUCCCUCCGCUCUGCAACUCCGCUGCGGAGCGGAGCGGGAUGUAGCUAUAUUUCGGCGAGCUGCUAGCAGGGUGCUCCGCGCGCUCUGCUCCGUAGCGAAGGAGCAGAGGGUUGCCGAACACAGUCAAAGUCAAUAGCAUGAAAACUUGGAAAGAAAGUAAAUUGAUUCUGCUAGGCAAAAAGUAAAAUGAAAUUUGUAUAAUUAUCAGCAUAUCAAAAUCCUGAUUCAUGUAUAUAUGAUUCAUCGUCGAAAUUGCUCCAGUUUAACAGAGAAUAAGAAGAAGUGUCCUAGAAUAUAUGAAUUAUGAUUCCCAAAGAUGGUGAUACCGAGGGUCAACAAUUUGUGCAUCGAAUACUAAGAGUCAACAAUAGGAAGUGUCCUAGUAUAUAUUCUGACACAUAGACUGUUGCCAUAGGUGGCGGGCUCCUCGGCUCCUUCCGAACCGACCUGUGUGACGUGGUGCAAAUCUACAAGGCAUCAACACGAUGGUUAAUUUCUCUGGUAAAUAGAUGCUAACUUGAUUUAGCUAGUACAUUUGUGCUCGAUCUUAAUUUUAUUAGCUAGUUGAUUUUUGCCGCAUCUCUACAGUUCUAUUUUCUUGUACUUGUUCAUGUCAAACCUGCUCAUGUGUGAAUGGUGCAUAUUAGUAACUUCAUUUCAUUAUGUAUUGCUACUGUUUGUGGUGGUUUGAAAGUCUAUUUUGCUUCUUCUGUUUCACUAUUAAGUACUCUGGAGAACCAAGUUGGUAGGUUCAUGAUAAUCUUCAAUUUAAAGUUUAGGACAUUUUACUGAAAAUAUUAGUUUAUGUGGUUGUUCCAUUUUAUUUCCCAUAUGCAUUCGUUGCAUUCAUUAUGGUCAAAUAGAGUUUUUGUUUAGAGAUUUAUUUGUAUAUACCAGUGCACACAAUAAUCCCAAAAACGCAACUUAUAUAGAAUCAUCAGUUGUACUUGGACCUGCAUUUCACAUUUUCCUGCGGCUUUGAGACCUUAUUAUGAGCUGUGAGUCACCAGAAAAGCAAGGUUCUUGCUUGUUGUUUGAAAGAUAGACGAUCUCGGGCUCCAUGAGCCGUGACAAUUGAUUUAUUGUUGUUAGUCUUCAAUGUAGGUUUUCACUAAGACAGAUUGAUCAUCAUAGAUUCUAUAACUCCUAACCAAUUGUUGACCACGAGUAUUCUAUGCACAAGUUGCAAACCGGAUAAGUACUAUUCCUUUUCUUGGCGAAACUAUAUAAGAACUGUUGUUGUAGGCUGUGCCUAUAGUGAUGAUGUUAUGGUAAGUGUAGAAAUGACUAUGUGAGGCGUAUAGAUUUGUUCAUGCUUCACAAUGUCAAGAAUAGAGAUUUUUAUAUGUCUAUUAUUAUACUAGGUACAUGGUUCGCUGGUUAUAUUAGGGAGUUGCUCUGCUAAAAUUGUUCUUGUCAAACUCAUGACCAGUUUUGAGUGAUUAAAAUGUCCAAUGGCUUCGAGGGCUUGACACGUCAUUUUAUCAUACGAUAUGUUUUUUUAUUUGUACAUACGAUAGGCAAUUUGAAAAUGCCAAGUUUUAUAAAGGAUGGAUUUCUAAUAGGAUAAUUAUGUAAAUAACUGUAUUCCCUAAUUCAGCCGGUUGUUGCGAAUCUCUAGAAUGCACUAGAGUGGUUUUUCCUGUACAAGUAUUAUUUAUAAAAAAAUUCAUUAUUAGUAAGUUAGGAUUAUCCACAAAACAUUUGGCUUGUCUGCCAAUUGCUGUAUAGAAACAUACUUUAGGUUGUCUUUUGUGAUGAAUGUGAUUUCUUCUCUAUUUUUCGUUCCGUGUGGUAUGUGCAACACACCGUCAGGUGGUCUUGUUGAUGCAUAUUUAUUUGCUCAGCUCAUGAUUACAAAGUUUUAAAGUGAAUGUAUGACACAUACAUGGAGUUGCACUAACUGAAUCGUACUUGUUACGUAUGAUCUAUCCCAGGACAAGAAGUUCGAUGAACAAGAAGCACUUCAUCUAGAGGCAACUAUUGUGUGUCAUCAAGAUAGCAACGUCGAUCUAGUUCUUAAUGGCAAUGCUUGCUCAGUGAUGAUUAUCAUAGUCCUUCAAACUUAGCAUAGCCCGCCAUGUACGAAAGUUGAAGCAAUUUUCUCUAGUAAUUCUUGUUGAUCUUGUCAGGUUAUUGAUAGCUCAAUAUGAAUGUCUUCUUGUGUUAUGCCCGGUAUGUUCCAGUUUGACAUGUACUAAAAAAUGUGCCGUGGAUAGACCAGUUUGACAUGCAGUCAAGCAUUAUGUGCCUAGAAUGGUCCAUUUUAACGUAUACCCAAUUUUCUGUUCCUGAGAUGCUUCAGCUUAAACGUACUCACAUAUUAGUGCCUGUGAGCUGUGAUACUCCAGUUUGUCUGGCUGGUUUAACUUUGUCAUUUACUCAAAUAUCUUUG